rnacentral:rRNA from 1 species
GGCGGACGGGUGAGUAACGCGUAAGAACUUGCCCUUUAGACUGGGAUAACAGAGGGAAACUUCUGAUAAUACUGGAUAAGUUAGUAUAUCGCAUGAUAUGCAAAUGAAAGCUACGGCACUAAAGGAGAGCUUUGCGUCCUAUUAGCUAGUUGGUAAGGUAAGAGCUUACCAAGGCGAUGAUAGGUAGCCGGCCUGAGAGGGUGGACGGCCACAAGGGGACUGAGAUACGGCCCUUACUCCUACGGGAGGCAGCAGG